CCUACGGGAGGCAGCAGUGGGGAAUAUUGGACAAUGGGCGAAAGCCUGAUCCAGCCAUGCCGCGUGUGUGAAGAAGGCCUUCGGGUUGUAAAGCACUUUCAGUGGGGAAGAAAGCCUUGGGGCUAAUACCCUCGAGGAAGGACAUCACCCACAGAAGAAGCACCGGCUAACUCCGUGCCAGCAGCCGCGGUAAUACGGAGGGUGCGAGCGUUAAUCGGAAUUACUGGGCGUAAAGCGCGCGUAGGCGGUCUGAUAAGCCGGUUGUGAAAGCCCCGGGCUCAACCUGGGAACGGCAUCCGGAACUGUCAGGCUAGAGUGCAGGAGAGGAAGGUAGAAUUCCCGGUGUAGCGGUGAAAUGCGUAGAGAUCGGGAGGAAUACCAGUGGCGAAGGCGGCCUUCCGGACUGACACUGACGCUGAGGUGCGAAAGCGUGGGUAGCAAACAGGAUUAGAUACCCUUGUAGUC
rnacentral:rRNA from 1 species